ensembl:lncRNA
CUCGCUUUACUCUUUGUAACUUGAACCGAAACGAAGGCGCAUGGAAGACAUACAGUGUGUGUCCGUGUAACCUCAGCUUCAACUGUGGUCCAGGAUUGACAAUGAAUGGCCAAUGGCCGAUACGACGUCACUUCAAAAACCAAUAAACGUUGGGUGGGCGGGACAUCCCACUUUACACCGAGAAGGAAUCUAGCGAGCCAGAUCUUUCACUCGACCGUCAUAAACGUUAGUAGCGCACUAGAUUUGGGUCUCCAGACUGGUUUUGAAAUAAAGUUGAUAAAGCGUAUAAAAAGUCACCAGAUUGAUAGAAUUCUAAGCAAAUGUUUCUAACCGCGGAAAUCCGGAGAUCCCAUAGAGGGAUGCUCGAGUUAUGUUCAGGCGCUCGGUGGCUGAUCUCCAUCUUCAUGAAUAUCCACCAUUAGAAACUGGCCAAAAUGGUAUCCAUGGGGGAGCUGCAAUGAGAAAAUCAGUGCUAUUCAAGAGGAACGUAAAGGCUCAUCUCACAUCUUCCAAAAAAUACCUGGAUGGCCUCCAAGCCUUUUGGGUUGAUGGACUGAGGAGUCAAAAAUUGAACUUUUUGGAAGACAUGUGUCCCAUUACAUCUGGCAUGAGGCUACCACUAUAGCAUUCAGGCUUUGUUUCAUAUAUACUUUUGGACAGUGUUACAGUUGUACAAUUGUGUUUUCAUGAUGAACAAAAUCAGCUUUUUUUUAUUAUUAAAUGUAUGGAUCAAAUAUCUAAUCUAAUAUCUAAAGUCAUUAAUUAAUUUCUAAUUAAGUGUUCCUCAAAUAUAGAAAGGUUGACACAAAAAGCAUACUCUGUGAUCAAAAGUGUCAUUUUUAUGUUAGUCAAUAAGUCUUUGUAAAUGUUAGCUGUAAUCAUAAUCAUUUCAUAAACCUAAUCCUAUCCUUAAUAACUGUCAGUGGAAAUUAUUCACAUUCCUAAAACCCCCUGAAACACAGUUUAUCAUCAAAUCUCUCAUUACAAUAAAACAGCCAAAUAUACAUGCUGUUUCGUAUGUACAUUCCAGAAUUACAUAUAACAUCACACACUGUCUGUGAGAAGUGAAUGAAUUUAACUGGACAUGUUUAUGUAUUAAUAAUGCAUAAUAUAUACAGUAUAGUGAAGUGAAUUGAACAUUAGUAUCUGUAAGUUUUUGAGACAAAUAACUGAGAGAAAUUUAAGCUGUGUUUAACUAGAGUGAAAUACAAAUAUCAGCACAUCCAGUCACGUAGUCCAUCGGAAGUUAUUUCCAUAACUAGAAGUGGCCUAGGGACGUGCAGAUGAGUCACAGUAUUGUGUUUAUGGCAGCUGAAUUGUUUUCCUGUUUUUGUUGUAUUAGUAAGGAGAAGUGAUUGUGAUGUAGCAGUGAUCACUUUUGCUUUUGCAGAAUGAAUGCACAUGCAUAAUUAUUCCAGUUGGUUAUUUAUUGUCCUGACAGAAACCAUGUGUAAAAAAAAAAAAAAGAAAGAAAGAAAGAAAGAAAAACUCUGUCAGAUUGUGUUAAUGGGUCACAAUGUACCCAUUGCAAUGACCAUUCAUACUGUGCAGUAUGAUGAAAUCUUCCCCAGGUCUUGCAUCAGGGUGGUUUACUUUUUGGCCACAAGUAGGGGGAGAUCAUAGACAGUACAGGAAAGUGAGGGAGUAAAUGAAUUGUAAGUAUUUGUUUAUAGCUUAUUCUUUCAAUGGAGUCUACAGGACAGUUCACAUUUAUUAAAAGUGAGAGAGCCUGGGAAAUCCUGGAUUAUCCGCUUCCAGUCCCUCGUCAUAGUUCGUUUCACGUUUUGUUUAUCGACCCUGUUUUCCGUGACCACGACCUAGAUUCCUGCCUUGCCCCAUGUAUGCCUGUUUGCCGAUCGCCUGACCUCUUGCAUGUUUAUGGAUUACGUUUUGGAUCACGUUUUGGAUUUGUCUGCCUGUCUCUCUUUCAAAUAAACAACUGUUCAUACUGCACUUGCAUCCGUCCUAUCUCUGCUCCGUCACGAUUCGUGACAUAUACAACAUAUAACUUGCAGUGAAAUUACAACACUGCACACAUAUGGAUUCACAACUCUAAAUUUGUCUAAAUUGGCAUGAAUUAGUAGCCUAUGUGAAUAUUUGUAAUUAUGAUGGCAGCCCUCCUAACAGCAGUAAAGAUGCAAGAGUGCCGGAGCAACCAGUUCCUUCAUCAGGUGUGGUGAAGAGACCCUAUCCCAGAGUGCUAA